GAGAAAGUAUUAAGGGCGCACGGGGAUGCCUGUGGCUCUCAUCGGCGAUGAAGGACGUGAUAAGCUGCGAAAAGCUUCGGGGAGUUGCACAUAAGCGUUGAUCCGAAGAUAUCCGAAUGGGGCAACCUGUCUGGUUGAAGACCAGUCAUCCGUUGUAAGACGGAAGCGAACCCGGAGAACUGAAACAUCUAAGUACCCGGAGGAAGAGAAAAUAAUAAUGAUUCCCUCAGUAGUGGCGAGCGAACGGGGAAGAGCCUAAACCGACCUAGUUACGGCUAUGUCGGGGUUGUAGGACUAGCGUAAUCGAUCACAAUUGAACUCGAACAUGUUGGGAAGCAUGACGGUACAGGGUGAGAGUCCCGUAGGGGUAAGAGCGUGAUUGAGGUUAGGAUCCUGAGUAGGGCGGGACAGGAGAAAUCCCGUUUGAAUCUGCCGGCACCAUCCGGUAAGGCUAAAUACGAAUGAGAGACCGAUAGUGAACAAGUACCGUGAGGGAAAGGUGAAAAGUACCGUGAAUAACGGGGUGAAAUAGAACCUGAAACCGUGCGCUUACAAGCGGUCGGAGUCCGUCAGCUGACGGAUGACGGCGUGCCUUUUGCAUAAUGAGCCUACGAGUUACUCUUCGUUAGCAAGGUUAAGGGUUUAAGGCCCGCAGCCGGAGCGAAAGCGAGUCUGAACAGGGCGCAUAGUUAGCGGAGGUAGACGCGAAACCCAUGUGAUCUACCCAUGUCCAGGGUGAAGUUUCGGUAAAACGGAAUGGAGGCCCGAACCGGUAAACGUUGAAAAGUUUUCGGAUGAGGUGUGGGUAGGGGUGAAAGGCCAAUCAAACUGGGAAAUAGCUCGUACUCCCCGAAAUGUUUUUAGGAACAGCGUGAGUGGAGUCUGACAGAGGUAGAGCUACCAAUAGGACUAGGGGGAGUCAAAUCCUACCAAAUCCUGAUGAACUCCGAAUGCUGUCAGAUGCUCACUUGCAGUGAGGGUUAGGGUGCUAAGGUCCUAAUCCGAGAGGGAAAGAACCCAGAUCCGCAGCUAAGGUCCCAAAAUGUAUACUAAGUUGAACUAAGGUAGUCCGAUUGCUUAGACAGCCAGGAGGUUAGCUUGGAAGCAGCUAUUCCUUUAAAGAGUGCGUAACAGCUCACUGGUCGAGCGAUAGGGCAUCGAUAAUAAUCGGGCAUAAAGUAUACUACCGAAGCUCGGGAUCCGUCAACUGACGGAUGGUAGGGGAGCAUUCUAUUGGCGGUGAAGGUGUGAUGUGAGUCAUGCUGGAGCGGAUAGAAAAGCAAAUGUAGGCAUAAGUAACGAUAAGACGGGCGAGAAACCCGUCCACCGCAAAGCUAAGGAUUCCAUGGCAAUGCUAAUCAGCCAUGGGUUAGUCAGGACCUAAGGCGAACCCGAGAGGGGUAGUCGAUGGCAAAUCGGUUAAUAUUCCGAUACCUGCGUAUAGAGUGAUGGGGAGACGGAGUAGUGACAGGUCCGCGUGCUGACGGAAUAGCACGUUAAAGCAUGUAGGUAAUGUUGGUGUAGGCAAAUCCGCACCGAUAGCUGAAUGUGAUAGUACUGCAAUCCUUCGGGAGCGCAGAUAGUGACCGUAAUCAGACUUCCAAGAAAAACCUCUAAGCAUAUGUAUACGCAGCCUGUACCGUAAACCGACACAGGUAGCUGAGGAGAGUAUCCUAAGGUGCUCGAGUGAUUCGUGGCUAAGGAACUAGGCAAAAUGACCCUGUAACUUCGGGAGAAGGGGUGCUUCCUCACCUUCGGGUGAGAAGCCGCAGUGAAGAGGCCCAGGCGACUGUUUAACAAAAACACAUGGCUCUGCGACACCGAAAGGUUAAGUAUAGGGCCUGACACCUGCCCGGUGCCGGAAGGUUAAGGGGGGACGUUAGCUUCGGCGAAGCGUUGAACUGAAGCCCCGGUAAACGGCGGCCGUAACUAUAACGGUCCUAAGGUAGCGAAAUUCCUUGUCGGGUAAGUUCCGACCUGCACGAAUGGUGUAACGAUCUGGGCACUGUCUCGGCCACGAGCUCGGUGAAAUUGUAGUAACGGUGAAGAUGCCGUUUACCCGCAGUGGGACGGAAAGACCCCAUGAACCUUUACUAUAGCUUCACAUUGGUAUUGUGUAAACGAUGUGUAGGAUAGCCGGGAGGCUUUGAAGCUGCGUCGCCAGGCGUGGUGGAGCCGUUGUUGAAAUACCGGCCUUUGUUUACGUGAUAUCUAACCCGUUAGACGGGGACAGUGUGUGGUGGGUAGUUUGACUGGGGUGGUCGCCUCCAAAAAAGUAUCGGAGGCUUCCAAAGGUACCCUCAGCACGGUUGGUAAUCGUGCGUAGAGCGCAAUAGCAUAAGGGUGCUUGACUGUGAGACCUACAAGUCGAUCAGGAACGAAAGUUGGGUAUAGUGAUCCGGUGGUUCCGCAUGGAAGGGCCAUCGCUCAAAGGAUAAAAGGUACUCUGGGGAUAACAGGCUGAUCUCCCCCAAGAGCUCACAUCGACGGGGAGGUUUGGCACCUCGAUGUCGGCUCGUCACAUCCUGGGGCUGGAGAAGGUCCCAAGGGUUGGGCUGUUCGCCCAUUAAAGUGGCACGCGAGCUGGGUUCAGAACGUCGUGAGACAGUUCGGUCCCUAUCUACUGUGGGCGUUAGAAGCUUGAGAGGACCUGACCUUAGUACGAGAGGACCGGGUUGGACGAACCUCUGGUGUAUCGGUUGUGGCGCCAGCUGCAGUGCCGAGUAGCUAUGUUCGGAAGAGAUAAGCGCUGAAAGCAUCUAAGCGCGAAACUCCCCUCAAGAUGAGGCUUCUUUUAAAGGACGUCAGAGACGAUGACGUUGAUAGGCUGCAGGUGUAAAGUUAGAGAUAGCAUAGCCGAGCAGUACUAAUUACCUGUAACUUUCCA
rnacentral:rRNA from 1 species